rnacentral:sRNA from 1 species
UGCAUCUGAAGUCUGACGAGGAUGAGAACCUCCGGGGGCAAGAGGUUCGACUCGAGCGAAGCGAGAGAACGUUGCGUCAGCAACGGCCCGCAGGGCGAGCCACG